rnacentral:rRNA from 1 species
GACGAACGCUGGCGGCGUGCUUAACACAUGCAAGUCGAGCGGUAAGGCCCUUUCGGGGGUACACGAGCGGCGAACGGGUGAGUAACACGUGGGUGACCUGCCCUUAGCUCUGGGAUAAGCCUGGGAAACUGGGUCUAAUACCGGAUAUGACUCCAUGACGCAUGUUGUGGGGUGGAAAGCCUUGUGCGGCUAGGGAUGGGCCCGCGGCAUAUCAGCUUGUUGGUGGGGUGAUGGCCUACCAAGGCGACGACGGGUAGCCGGCCUGAGAGGGCGACCGGCCACACUGGGACUGAGACACGGCCCAGACU